rnacentral:rRNA from 1 species
AUUGAACGCUGGCGGCAGGCCUAACACAUGCAAGUCGAGCGGAUGAAGGGAGCUUGCUCCUGGAUUCAGCGGCGGACGGGUGAGUAAUGCCUAGGAAUCUGCCUGGUAGUGGGGGAUAACGUCCGGAAACGGGCGCUAAUACCGCAUACGUCCUGAGGGAGAAAGUGGGGGAUCUUCGGACCUCACGCUAUCAGAUGAGCCUAGGUCGGAUUAGCUAGUUGGUGGGGUAAAGGCCUACCAAGGCGACGAUCCGUAACUGGUCUGAGAGGAUGAUCAGUCACACUGGAACUGAGACACGGUCCGGACUCCUACGGGAGGCAGCAGUGGGGAAUAUUGGACAAUGGGCGAAAGCCUGAUCCAGCCAUGCCGCGUGUGUGAAGAAGGUCUUCGGAUUGUAAAGCACUUUAAGUUGGGAGGAAGGGCAGUAAGUUAAUACCUUGCCGUUUUGACGUUACCAACAGAAUAAGCACCGGCUAACUUCGUG